rnacentral:rRNA from 1 species
UGGGGAAUAUUGGACAAUGGGGGGAACCCUGAUCCAGCCAUGCCGCGUGUGUGAAGAAGGCCUUAUGGUUGUAAAGCACUUUAAGCGAGGAGGAGGGUACUGGUAUUAAUACUACCAGGUACUGGACGUUACUCGCAGAAUAAGCACCGGCUAACUCUGUGCCAGCAGCCGCGGUAAUACAGAGGGUGCGAGCGUUAAUCGGAUUUACUGGGCGUAAAGCGUGCGUAGGCGGCUAAUUGAGUCGGAUGUGAAAUCCCCGAGCUUAACUUGGGAAUUGCAUUCGAUACUGGUUAGCUAGAGUGUGGGGGAGGAUGGUAGAAUUCCAGGUGUAGCGGUGAAAUGCGUAGAGAUCUGGAGGAACACCAGUGGCGAAGGCGACCACCUGGGCUCAUACUGACACUGAGGUGCGAAAGCGUGGGGAGCAAACAGG